rnacentral:rRNA from 1 species
UUAGAGUUUGAUCAUGGCUCAGAACGUACGCUGGCGGCACGCCUAACACAUGCAAGUCGAACGAAGUAGCAAUACUUAGUGGCAGACGGGUGAGUAACAUGUAGGUAUCUACCCUUUGGCCUGGAAUAACACGAGGAAACUUGUGCUAAUACCGGAUAAGUCUUUACGGAGAAAGCUUUAUGCACCAUUGGAUGAGCCUGCACUUGAUUAGUUUGUUGGUAGGGUAAUGGCCUACCAAGACUGUGAUCAAUAGCUGAUUUGAGAGGAUGAUCAGCCACAUUGGGACUGAGACACGGCCCAAACUCCUACGGGAGGCAGCAGUGGGGAAUCUUGCACAAUGGAGGAAACUCUGAUGCAGCGAUGCCGCGUGAGUGAAGAAGGCCUUUGGGUUGUAAAGCUCUUUCGUCGGGGAAGAAAAUGACUGUACCCGAAUAAGAAGGUCCGGCUAACUUCGUGCCAGCAGCCGCGGUAAUACGAAGGGACCUAGCGUAGUUCGGAAUUACUGGGCUUAAAGAGUUCGUAGGUGGUUGAAAAAGUUGGUGGUGAAAUCCCAGAGCUUAACUCUGGAACUGCCAUCAAAACUUUUCAGCUAGAGUUUGAUAGAGGAAAGCAGAAUUUCUAGUGUAGAGGUGAAAUUCGUAGAUAUUAGAAAGAAUACCAAUUGCGAAGGCAGCUUUCUGGAUCAUUACUGACACUGAGGAACGAAAGCAUGGGUAGCGAAGAGGAUUAGAUACCCUCGUAGUCCAUGCUGUAAACGAUGUGUGUUAGACGUUGGAAAUUUAUUUUCAGUGUCGCAGCGAAAGCGAUAAACACACCGCCUGGGGAGUACGACCGCAAGGUUAAAACUCAAAUGAAUUGACGGGGACCCGCACAAGUAGUGGAGCAUGUGGUUUAAUUCGAAGAUACGCGCAGAACCUUACCAACACUUGACAUGUUCGUCGCGACUUUAAGAGAUUAAAGUUUUCGGUUCGGCCGGACGAAACACAGGUGCUGCAUGGCUGUCGUCAGCUCGUGUCGUGAGAUGUUGGGUUAAGUCCCGCAACGAGCGCAACCCUCACUUUUAGUUGCCAUCAUUUAGUUGGGCACUCUGAAAGAACUGCCAGUGAUAAGCUGGAGGAAGGUGGGGAUGACGUCAAGUCCUCAUGGCCCUUACGUGUUGGGCUACACACGUGCUACAAUGGUAUUUACAACAGGAAGCAAAACAGCGAUGUUAAGCAAAUCCUCAAAAGAUACCUCAGUUCGGAUUGCACUCUGCAACUCGAGUGCAUGAAGCUGGAAUUACUAGUAAUCGUGGAUCAGCGUGCCACGGUGAAUGCGUUCCC